GUGAACGCUGGCGGUAGGCCUAACACAUGCAGGUCGAACGGCAGCACAGUAAGAGCUUGCUCUUACGGGUGGCGAGUGGCGGACGGGUGAGGAAUACAUCGGAAUCUACUUUUUCGUGGGGGAUAGCGUAGGGAAACUUACGCUAAUACCGCAUACGACCUACGGGUGAAAGCAGGGGAUCUUCGGACCUUGCGCGAUUGAAUGAGCCGAUGUCGGAUUAGCUAGUUGGCGGGGUAAAGGCCCACCAAGGCGACGAUCCGUAGCUGGUCUGAGAGGAUGAUCAGCCACACUGGAACUGAGACACGGUCCAGACUCCUACGGGAGGCAGCAGUGGGGAAUAUUGGACAAUGGGCGCAAGCCUGAUCCAGCCAUACCGCGUGGGUGAAGAAGGCCUUCGGGUUGUAAAGCCCUUUUGUUGGGAAAGAAAAGCAGCAGGUUAAUACCCCGCUGUUCUGACGGUACCCAAAGAAUAAGCACCGGCUAACUUCGUG
rnacentral:rRNA from 1 species